rnacentral:rRNA from 1 species
AUUGGACAAUGGGCGAAAGCCUGAUCCAGCCAUGCCGCGUGGAUGAUGAAGGCCCUAGGGUUGUAAAGUCCUUUCGACGGGGAAGAUAAUGACGGUACCCGUAGAAGAAGCCCCGGCUAACUUCGUGCCAGCAGCCGCGGUAAUACGAAGGGGGCUAGCGUUGUUCGGAAUUACUGGGCGUAAAGCGCGCGCAGGCGGCUUUUCAAGUCAGUGGUGAAAGCCUGGAGCUCAACUCCAGAACUGCCAUUGAAACUGCUAAGCUUGAGUACGAGAGAGGUGAGUGGAAUUCCCAGUGUAGAGGUGAAAUUCGUAGAUAUUGGGAAGAACACCAGUGGCGAAGGCGGCUCACUGGCUCGUAACUGACGCUCAGGCGCGAUAGCGUGGGGAUCAAACA